rnacentral:rRNA from 1 species
AGUGAACGCUGGCGGUAGGCCUAACACAUGCAAGUCGAACGGCAGCACAGUAAGAGCUUGCUCUUACGGGUGGCGAGUGGCGGACGGGUGAGGAAUACAUCGGAAUCUACUUUUUCGUGGGGGAUAACGUAGGGAAACUUACGCUAAUACCGCAUACGACCUACGGGUGAAAGCAGGGGAUCUUCGGACCUUGCGCGAUUGAAUGAGCCGAUGUCGGAUUAGCUAGUUGGCGGGGUAAAGGCCCACCAAGGCGACGAUCCGUAGCUGGUCUGAGAGGAUGAUCAGCCAAACUGGAACUGAGAAAAGGUCCAGACUCCUAAGGGAGGCAGCAGUGGGGAAUAUUGGACAAUGGGCGGAAGCCUGAACCAGCCAUACCGCGUGGGUGAAGAAGGCCUUCGGGUUGUAAAGCCCUUUUGUUGGGAAAGAAAAGCAGCAGGUUAAUACCCCGCUGUUCUGACGGUACCCAAAGAAUAAGCACCGGCUAACUUCGUG